rnacentral:rRNA from 1 species
AGUAACUGCGAGUGAAGCGGGAUGAGCUCAAAUUUCGAAUCUGGCGGUCUUCGGCCGUCCGAGUUGUAAUCUAGAGAAGCGUCGUCCGCGCUGGACCGUGUAUAAGUCUCCUGGAAGGGAGCGUCGUAGAGGGUGAGAAUCCCGUCUUUGACACGGACUACCAGUGCUAUGUGAUGCGCUCUCGACGAGUCGAGUUGUUUGGGAAUGCAGCUCAAAAUGGGUGGUAAAUUCCAUCUAAAGCUAAAUACAGGCGAGAGACCGAUAGCGAACAAGUACCGUGAGGGAAAGAUGAAAAGAACUUUGGAAAGAGAGUUAAACAGUACGUGAAAUUGCUGAAAGGGAAACGCUUGAUGUCAGUCGCGUCGGCCGGGGAUCAACCUUGCUUCUCUGCUGGGUGUACUUCCUGGUCGACGGGUCAGCGUCAGUUUCGGUCGUCGUACAAGGGCGAGGGGAACGUGGCACUCUUCGGAGUGUGUUAUAGCCUUUCGUCGUAUGCGGCGGGUCGGGACUGAGGAACUCAGCACGGCUUCGGUUUGUGCUUAGGAUGCUGGCAUAAUGGCCUUAAGCGACCCGUCUUGAAACACGGACCAAGGAGUCUAACAUGCCUGCGAGUGUUUGGGUGGCAAACCCGAGCGCGCAAUGAAAGUGAAAGUUGAGACCUCUGUCGUGGAGGGCAUCGACGCCCGGACCUGAGUCUUUGACGACGGAUCUGCGGUAGAGCAUGCAUGUUGGGACCCGAAAGAUGGUGAACUAUGCCUGAAUAGGGUGAAGCCAGAGGAAACUCUGGUGGAGGCUCGUAGCGAUUCUGACGUGCAAAUCGAUCGUCGAAUUUGGGUAUA